UCUUUCCGUGCCGUAUCCAGGAAGUCGUAUGUGGUUGUCAAGCAAACUUUUGCUUGUAAGCAAAGUGCUCUCAGUCUGUGAAAUGUAUAACAUUAUAUCUUUUUAGCCUGCAGUUUCCUGCAACAGGUAGCCGUGAGAGAUGAGUUGCUGUCAAGGGUCUGUGCCCCAGGAGGUCCGGCCCGGCACAGCACGGGUCCUAGUGACUGAGCUGAGUGGAUCAGGCCACAUCAACCCAACUCCUGCCACGAAACCCUGCGAGGACUCUGAAACAGCUGUGGAGCUUUACUUCUCUCCAGAGAAGCUGGAAUUGCUGUGUGGAACUCGGGACCUCUCUCACGUGACCUCGCUGGAGAUCUGCGUAGACACACAAGAAAAUACACUGGCUAACUUUGGUGCUUACUUGCCCAAGCUGGUGCAGCUCAAAAUGAACAACAGCACAAUUAUGUCAGUAAGAGACCUGGGAACCACCCUCUCCCACCUGCAGGUGCUGUGGAUGUCUCACUGCUCUCUCCAAGACCUAGAUGGCAUUUCUACUUUCUCCUCCCUCAAGGAAUUGUAUGUGGCCUAUAACAAAGUGUCCGACCUGAGUCAGGUUGGCAUGCUAAUGAACCUGCAGCUGUUAGAUCUGGAAGGGAAUGAUGUGGACGACCUAGUCCAGAUUCAGUAUCUUGGGUUGUGUGGCAAACUCCAGACACUCACCCUGGAGGGAAACCCUGUGUGUGUGCACCCAAACCCCACUGCCAUCCAGACAGCAGACUAUAGUUAUCGGGCUGCAGUGAGGGAGUUGGUUCCCCAGCUGCGUUACCUAGAUGAUUUAAGGGUGGAGGAAGACGGGCUGAGCUGUAUCAGCACCAUAGGAGAGGACUGGGCCAUUCUUCGAAACUCCAUCAGAGACGGCAACUCCUCUCAGGCAGCUACUAAAGACGAGGAAACGGCAGACAGCCCAUGUCCUCACAGCAGACCCGGCUCAGCAAGGCGCCCUGCUUCCAGCCACUCUUGCGUCUGGCCCCUCUCGUCAGCAGGCUCCAGACCCCACACUGGCUCCAGACCCAUGUCAGCGACCGGGCCUGGAGUUCUUUCCCCUCCUGGAUCCAGACCUGGAUCUGCAGACUCAGAUCUAGCAACAGUGGAAGCAGAAACCAGCAUCCUGACGCAUGGAGCUGGCAAGAUCCUGUUCUGUGGAAACCCAGUCCAGGCUAUUCGAGCAAGAAGAGAAAAGUUGAGGACUGCACCCACCAGGUCUACUUUCACCCCCCGGGACCUGCCCAUCCAUGUACCGGAACACACGUACGACUUUGAGGAGCAUGAUGUCAGAGAACGCGUUGAUGUGUUUGCAGAGCUUAGAGCUUGGAGGGAGCAGCACAGCAGCCGUCUCCAGGCCAUAGAGACAGAAAGAUUACCACAGGUCCUGGCUAUCCAGCAUAGUGAUGAAGGGGAAGAUGACGAUGAAGAAGAAGUCUUUGGUGGUGUAAGGAAUGACAGCAGUGAUGAAGAACACAGAGCGGAGAAGCAUGGUGAAAGCCUUGACUCCCCAGAUUCCUCUUUCCAGUCUGUUUCCCCAGACCUGCAUCACGGAGAAGCCUUAUCCCCUGAGGUGUCUCGACUCUCCCUGUCCCCAGACACCAGACUGUGCCCUUCUCCCCCUCUCAGUGCCACACUAACAGCUAAUCGCAAGCCACCAGGGAUCCGCGCACGUAGGCUUCGACACAGCCAGACCAACUCCGAACAUUCACCUGAUCUCAGCAGAGUAGGACGCUCCCCUGGGACAGGUACAACCGCAGGAGACACGGACCUGACACUCCAGAGGGUCCAGCAGUGGACCAGGACUGAUGUGCCUCUGUUACCCCUGCCUGCACACAUACCCCACCCCCCUCCAACAAGUGCCCUGGGUAAAGAGCUCAUGGUUUCAAGAGAUGGACUUAUCCAGUAUACAGUCUGGCAGCAAGCAUCUUCUAACGCCUCAGAUGUCCAAAGUCCUGGACAGACCAGCAAUUACUCGUCCUCACACAGCCAGAGCAGCUCUACAGAAACAUCACCAGCACCACAUACACCAACCCUGCAGAGGGAGCUCACAGCCAGACUGACCACAGAAUGGGCAGAUGUUUGGAUGCCUGGUCAGUGAUCAGUAUGAUUAGUGUGACUGUUCUAUACCCUUAAGAACAAAGCGGUAGCAUGGAAGCCAUUACGGGGCAUUAUCUUGCUCACUCACUCCAUGCUUUGAGGUGUGUUGGAAUUACCUGUAUUUUUGCCAUAUGAUGAAAAGAACAAAAAGAAAAAGACCCGGAAUAUAUUGAAAGCAUUCCCAGAUGAGUUGGGACUCACACCAACAACAACAUUCAGUGAACUCAUGAGUAAUUGAGUAAUUAAAACGAGUGUAUGAGUGUUAACAACCGUGUAUCUUGGAGCACUGAGAUUAUCCUUCUAAUGCUACUGAAUUGCUGGUUUUCUGAUGGCUGUGUUGGAUGAAUAAUAAAAGGGAAUGUAACUAAAACCUCACUUUUGCAUUUCUCAGGUUGAAACUUUGAAUUGUUCUAACUCAAAUGCUACCUUGUGUUUUACCCAAUUAAAACAAAAACUUCAAUCGA